ACCCUUCCGGUUGCAGUCUGAGAAAUCAGGCUGAUGGCUGGUGACUUUUUAGUCACCAGCCU
rnacentral:sRNA from 1 species